AUGAGCACUUUGCUUCGUCUUUUGCCUCCUGCCGAGUUCGGGUGGCCCCUGCUCAAGCCGCCAAGACCGCAGUCAAAUGUCCGUGUACGACUACGCAAAUACACAAGUCUUCCUGAGCUCACUUGGCCACAAAGUACCACGACGCCUGAAGACCUCGGAUUCAUCAAGUUCCCACGACAACUUAAGUGUACCCUUCGGAUCGCCAAGUUCCACUACCGUCGCCAAAACUUGAGAUGA
rnacentral:rRNA from 1 species